rnacentral:rRNA from 1 species
AUUGAACGCUGGCGGCAGGCCUAACACAUGCAAGUCGAGCGGAUGAAGGGAGCUUGCUCCUGGAUUCAGUGGCGGACGGGUGAGUAAUGCCUAGGAAUCUGCCUGGUAGUGGGGGAUAACGUCCGGAAACGGGCGCUAAUACCGCAUACGUCCUGAGGGAGAAAGUGGGGGAUCUUCGGACCUCACGCUAUCAGAUGAGCCUAGGUCGGAUUAGCUAGUUGGUGGGGUAAAGGCCUACCAAGGCGACGAUCCGUAACUGGUCUGAGAGGAUGAUCAGUCACACUGGAACUGAGACACGGUCCAGACUCCUACGGGAGGCAGCAGUGGGGAAUAUUGGACAAUGGGCGAAAGCCUGAUCCAGCCAUGCCGCGUGUGUGAAGAAGGUCUUCGGAUUGUAAAGCACUUUAAGUUGGGAGGAAGGGCAGUAAGUUGAUACCUUGCUGUUUUGACGUUACCAACAGAAUAAGCACCGGCUAACUUCGUG